UACGAAGGGGGCUAGCGUUGCUCGGAAUCACUGGGCGUAAAGCGCACGUAGGCGGCUCGUUAAGUCAGGGGUGAAAUCCCGGGGCUCAACCUCGGAACUGCCUUUGAUACUGCAAAUCUCGAGUCCGGAAGAGGCGAGUGGAAUUCCCGGUGUAGCGGUGAAAUGCGCAGAUAUCGGGAGGAACACCAAUGGCGAAGGCAGCUCGCUGGGACGGUACUGACGCUGAGACGCGAAAGCGUGGGGAGCAAACAGG
rnacentral:rRNA from 1 species